rnacentral:lncRNA from 1 species
AAUGGAAUACAUAAAAAUGCAGAUGUAUAUACAUAAAUAAUCGCGAAAACGCAAAGCGAAUAUCAUUGAUGUACGUGAAACGCAAAGCAAUUUUCACGUACAUAAAGACCCAUAAAACACCCACCAAAGCAAGACCAAUAGUAGAAAAGAGGUGCGCACCAACUUAUAACCUGGAAGCCAAACUAGCGAAAUGGUGCAACAACAUCUUAAAAAAACUACAAGUAUACAGCCAAAAGUACAGAAGAAGUAUUAAACCAGUUACAGAACAGAUGGCACAACCCAGGUGAAAUAAUAGCCACUUAUGAUUUUAAGAGUCUGUACCCGUCCAUUAGCCUAGAAGCUACAUGUUUGGCUUUCUAUAGAUUCAUGCUGAAAAAUCUAACCAAUGUAGAGAAAAUAGCGGCAAUCUGGCGAGAUCUUUCCCAUACGAUUUGUCAUGAGUCGUA